ACUUGGAAGCCCUAAUCCAGAGCCUUUUACAAUUACUGACUGAUCUAUGAUGAGAUUAAGAUGAUAUGUGUGCCUAAAGACACGGCUAUCUACUGACACCAAUCGCUUCAAUUAGUAUCCACAGCACCGAGUUUUGUGUUUAUAAUUCAUGUAGUUCAUUUUACUUGAAUCUCUUCAAAUAAGCAGGUAUUGCCACAGUGAAAUAAAAUGGUGGAUAUGAAACGAGAAGGCCGGAAU